rnacentral:rRNA from 1 species
CACGGGGGGAGCAAGCGUUGUUCGGAAUCACUGGACGUAAAGGGCGUGUAGGCGGUUGGGUAAGUGGAAUGUGAAAUGCCCCGGCUCACCCGGGGACCGGCAUUCCAAACUGCUCAGCUCGAGUAUGGGAGAGGAUGAGGGAAUUCCUGGUGUAGCGGUGAAAUGCGUAGAUAUCAGGAGGAACACCGGUGGCGAAAGCGCUCAUCUGGCCCAAUACUGACGCUGAGGCGCGAAAGCUAGGGGAGCAAACGGG